UGUUUAAUAAUUUAAAUCUAAAAUAUUAAAUUGCAAAUUUAAAUUUGAUUAAUAUAUCUUAAACAU
rnacentral:tRNA from 1 species